ensembl:lncRNA
AUGACACUUCCUGUUCACUUCCGCUUCCCUCUCGCCGCCGUUUCUGGUGCCGCUCUGGCCUCCAUUCCUCCUAACUCGCUUCCGCUUCCGGUGCCGCUCUGUUCUCCAGUCCUCCCAACUCGCUGUCACUUCCGGUGCCGCUCUGGCCCCGAGUCCUCCCAACUCGCUGCUCCCGGGGAAUUCUCGCCGAUUUUUGGGGAUUUUUGGGGAUUUUUGGGGUUCCCGGCGGGUUUUGGGGCCGAUGCUGCUGACGGUGAAGGCGCUGCAGGGCCGCGAGUGCUGCCUGCAGGUGGCCCCCGAGGAGCGCGUGGGGACCCUCAAGGCUCUGGUGGCCGAGCGGCUGCAGGUCCCGGUGGAGCAGCAGCGGCUCCUGUUCCGCGGCAAGGCCCUGGCAGACGAGCGCCGCCUGUGCGAUUAUUCCAUCGGACCCUCAGCGCGGCUGAACCUCGUCCUGAAACCGCCCCCGGGGGGGGGAGGGGGAGGGGCGGGAGGGGGUGGGGGAGGGGCAGGGGAGGGUGGGGGUGGGGAAGGGGCCGCCCCUCCCCCCCUCCCGCCCCCCCCGAGCCCCUUCGGGCCCGAACUGGCGCCGAUCCUCGGGCGGCACUUCGGGAGCCGCGACGGGGCGCGGGUGAUGCAGCAGCUGCUGAAGGAUUACGAUCGGGCGCUGCGCGGGCUCAGCCUGGACGAGUUGGAGCGUUUGGGGGCGCGGCUGCUGCAGGAGGGGGGAGGGGCGCCCCUCCCCCACCCCCCGCCCCUCCCCCACCCCCCCCGAGUGCGGCCCCGCCCCCACCCCCUGAACCCAGCCCGAAUUCACCCCAAAAUUCCCGAAUUUACCCAAAAAUCCCCAAUUUUACAGCAAAUUUUACCCCCAAAAUCCCCGAAUUUACCCCAAAAUUCCCAAUUUUACAGCGAAUUUUACCCCCAGAAAUCCCUGAAUUGACCCAAAAAUUCCUGAUUUCACCCAAAAAUUCCCAAUUUUACAGUGACUUUUACCCUAAAAAUCCCCGAAUUCACCCCAAAAUCCCCGAAUUUCGCCCAAAAAGUCCAAAUUUUACAGCAAAUCUUACCCCAAAAAUCCCCGAAUUUACUCAAAAAUCACCAAAUUGACCCAAAAAUCCCUGAAUUUGCCCAAAAAUCCCCGAAUUUACCCUAAAAAAUCCUAAAUUUGCCCAAAAAUCCCCGAAUUUACCCUAAAAAAUCCUGAAUUUGCCCAAAAAUCCCUGAAUUUACCCAAAAAUCCCCAAUUUUACAGCGAAUUUUACCCCAAAAUCCCCAAAUUUGCCCAAAAUCCCCAAAUUUCACCCCAAAAUCCCGGCGGGGCUGAAUAAAGGAGAGAGAGAACGGCUCAGACUGGGCAAACUGGGACAGACUGGGAGGGACUGGGGGGGAACUGGGAGCACUGGGAGGGUCCUUGAAGGGUUACUGGGAGCACUGGGAGGGAACUGGGAGGGAACUGGGCCGAACUGGGAUGUACUGGGAGGGUCCCUGAGGGGUUACUGGGAGCACUGGGAAGGUUCUUGAGGGGUUACUGGGAGCACUGGGGGGGAACUGGGACAAACUGGGAGCACUGGGAGUAACUGGGAGCACUGGGAGAGCCCUUGAGGGGUUACUGGGAGCACUGGGAGGGACUGGGAGGGAACUGGGCCAAACUGGGAUGUACUGGGAGGGUCCUUGAAGGGUUACUGGGAGCACUGGGAAGGUUCUUGAGGGGUUACUGGGAGCACUGGGGGGGAACUGGGACAAACUGGGAGAGCCCUUGAGGGGUUACUGGGAGGGACUGGGAGGGCACUGGGGGUUACUGGGAGCACUGGGAGAGACCUUGAAGGGUUACUGGGAUGGACUGGGACAUACUGGGAUGUACUGGGAGUUACUGGGGGCACUGGGAAGCUCCUUGAAGGGUUACUGGGAGCACUGGGAGGGACUGGCAGGGAACUGGACCAAACUGGGAUGUACUGGGAGCACUGGGAGGUUACUGGGAUGUACUGGGAGGGCACCGGAAGCGCCACCCGCCGCAGGGGCCGCCGGGAGUUGUAGUCCCCGCCUCACACCCGCCCGUGACGUCACCAGCACCGCCCACUCUCCCUCCUUAUUGGCCAACCCUCCACCCCGCCCUCACUCCUGAUUGGCCUAUCCAAUACGCCCUCCGAUUGGCCGAUCCCCACGCGGUGGGCGGGACGCGUGAGCUGAUUGGUGCGCGCAGAGCGCGUCGGGCGCUGAUUGGUGGAGGCGGGAACCCGGAAGUGGCGGGGGCAGCGCGGGGCGAAAGCGGCGGUGAGGGGGGAGGGGGCGGGGGGGGGGAGACCCCAAAUUUGGGGGUCCCGGGGGGGUCCCGGGGAAUUUUGGGGGUCCCUGGGGGGGUCCCGGGGAAUUUUGGGGGGUCCUGGAGGAGAUUCCCGGGAAUUUUGGAUCGUUUCUGGGCAUUUUGGGGGGGUCCCGAUAAUUUGGGGGGUCCUGGGGGGGUCCCACAGAAUUUGGGGUGUCCCACGGGGGGUCUCGAUAAUUUGGGGGGGGUCCCGUUAAUUUUGGGGGUCCCUGGGGGGGAUUCCCGGGAAUUUUGGGAGGUCCCAAAAAUUUUGGGGGUUCCCAGGGGGGGGGUCCCGAUACUUUUGGGGGGGGAACCGAUAAUUUUGGGGGGCUCGGGGGGAUUUUGGGGGUCCCUGACCCCCCCUCCCCCCCCUUCACUUGCAGCCGCCCCGGAGCCCCAUGAGAGCCGCGGGUACGGGGGGGGGGAGGGGAUUUGGGGGGAUUUUGGGGGGAUUUGGGGAAAUUUGGGAUUUUGGGGGGAAAUUCUGGGAUUUUGGAAAAAAUUUGGGACAUUUUUGGGGAUUUUGGGGAAAUGUGGGAAAUUUUUGGGGGGGAUUUUGGGGAACUUUGAGGAAUAUUGAGUUUUUGGGAGAUUUUGGGAGAAUUUGGGGAAAAUUUGGGGGAUUUUGGCAAAAUUUAGGGGAUUUUGGGGGAAAUUUGGGAAAAUUUGGGAUUUUGGGGGGAAAUUCUGGGAUUUUGGAAAAAAUUGGGGAAUUUUUUUGAGGAUUUUGGGGAAAUUUGGGAAAAUUUUGGAGGGGAUUUUGGGGAACUUUGAGGAAUUUUGGGUUUUGGGGGGAAUUUUGGGAGAUUUUUGGGGAAUUUUGGGAAAAUUUGGGGAAUUGUAGCAGAAUUUAGGGGAUUUUGGGGGAAAUUUUGGAAAAUUUGGGAUUUUGGGGGGAAAUUCUGGGAUUUUGGAAAAAAACUGGGAAAUUUUUUAGGAUUUUGAGGGAACUUUGAGGAAAUUUUGGGGGGAUUGUGGUUUUUUUGGGGAAUUUUGGGAGAUUUUGGGGAUUUCUUGGAUUUUGGGGGGAAAUUCUGGGAUUUUGGAAAAAAUUUUGGACAUUUUUGAGGAAUUUUGGGGGAACUUUGGGGAAAUUUUGGGGGAUUUUGGGAACUUUGAGGAAUUUUGGGGGGAUUUUGGGGUUUUUUGGGGAAUUUUGGGAGAUUUUGGGGGGAUUGGAGGGAAAUUUGGGGUUUUGGGGGGAAAUUCUGGGAUUUUGGAAAAAAUUUGGGAAAUUUUGGAGGAUUUUGGGGGGAACUUUGGGAAAAUUUUGGGGGCAAUUUUGGGAACUUUGAGAAUUUUGGGGUGGAUUUUGGGGGAUUUUUGAAAUUUUGGGAGAUUUUGGGGGGAUUUGGUUGAAAUUUGGGGGUUUAUGGGAAGUAUUGGGGAAUUUGGGAAAAAAUUGGGGAUAUUUGUGCAGGAUUUGGGAGAUUUUGGGGAAAUUUUUGGGAAUUUUAGGAGGAUUUUAGAGAUUUCGGGGGAUUUUGGGGGAAAUUCUGGGAUUUUUGGGGACUUUGUGGGAAUUUUGGGGGAAUUUGGGGAAUUUUGGUGAAUUUUUCGGGUGUUUUUGGGGAGGUUUUGGAAAUUUUGGGGAUAAUUUUUGUGUUAUUUUGGGCUGAUUUUUAGGAUAUUUUGGGAUGAUUUUUGGGGUAUUUUUGGGUUGCUUUUUGGGGCAUUUUUGGGGAUUUUUGGGCUAUUUUUGGGGUGUUUUUGGGCUGGUUUUUGGGGUUUUUUUGGGGAUGAUUUUUGGGAUGAUUUUUGGGCUGUUUUUUGGGGUGGUUUUGGCUGGUUUUUGGGGUAUUUUGGGGCUGUUUUUGGGGUGGUUUUGGGCUGGUUUUUGGGCUGUUUUUUGGGGUGUUUUUGGGUUGUUUUGGGUUGGGUUUUGGGAUGAUUUUGGGCUGUUUUUGGGUUGUUUUUCGGAUGAUUUUUGGACUGUUUUUGGGUUGGUUUGGGCUGUUUUUUGGGGUGGUUUUGGGCUGGUUUUUGCGGUGGUUUUGGGCUGUAUUUUGGGGUGUUUUGGAGUUUUGGGCUGUUUUUGGGGUGGGUUUUGGGGUGGUUUCAGGUUGUUUUUGGCUGUUUUCGGCGUGAUUUUUUGGGAUGAUUUUUGGGCUGGUUUUGGGCUGGUUUUUGGGGUGAUUUUGGGCUGAUUUUGGGCUGUUUUUUGGGGUGCGUUUGGGGUAUUUUUGGGCUGUUUUUGGGCCGAUUUUGGCUGUUUCUGACCCCCCCAGGCCCCCUCCGCCUCCUGGCCCUGGGGGCCGCGGCCGGGCUGGCCUGGCUGGCGAUGACGUCACUGCUGGGCCCGCCCCGGGCCCCGCCCACCCUGCUGCGGCUGCUGCGGCGUGAGUGGGCGGGGCCAGAGGGGGCGGGGCCAAUGGGGGCGGGGCUAAACGGGAGGGCAAAAUAACCCACAGGGG